rnacentral:rRNA from 1 species
UUUUCCUACGGGAGGCAGCAGUGGGGAAUAUUGCACAAUGGGGGAAACCCUGAUGCAGCGACGCCGCGUGAGUGAAGAAGUAUUUCGGUAUGUAAAGCUCUAUCAGCAGGGAAGAUAAUGACGGUACCUGACUAAGAAGCCCCGGCUAACUACGUGCCAGCAGCCGCGGUAAUACGUAGGGGGCAAGCGUUAUCCGGAUUUACUGGGUGUAAAGGGAGCGUAGACGGCUGAGCAAGCCUGAAGUGAAAGGCGGGGGCCCAACCCCUGGACUGCUUUGGGAACUGUACGGCUGGAGUGCAGGAGAG